rnacentral:rRNA from 1 species
CAAUAGCGUAUAUUAAAGCUGUUGCGGUUAAAAAGCUCGUAGUUGGAUUUCUGUCAAGGACAACUGGUCCGCCCUCCGGGUGAGCACAUAGUUUGGUCUUGACUUCUUGCUGGAAGCUGUUGCUGCACUUGGCUGUGUGGCGCAGUGUUCAGCACUUUCACUUUGAGGAAAUUGGAGUGUUUCAAGCAGGCACAUGCCUUUGGACACAGUAGCAUGGAAUAAUUAGAUUGGGCUUUUGCUCCAAUUUGUCGGUUUCUGGAGCUGAGGUGAGUAUUAAUGGGGAUUGUUGGGGGCAUCCGAAUUUAGCCGUCAGAGGUGAAAUUCUUGGAUCUGCUAAAGACGGACAACUGCGAAAGCGUUUGCCCAGGAUGUUUUCAUUG